GGUUCGAUUCUGGCUCAGAUUGAACGCUGGCGGUCUUUUAUGCAAGUCGAACGGCAGCACGGACUUCGGUCUGGUGGCGAGUGGCAGACGGGUGAGUAAUGUAUCGGAACGUGCCUAGUAGCGGGGGAUAACUACGCGAAGCGUAGCUAAUACCGCAUACGCCCUUCGGGGGAAAGCGGGGGGACCUUCGAGCUCGCACUAUUAAACGGCCGAUAUCGGAUUAGCUAGUUGGUGGGGUAACGGCUCGCAAGGCGACGAUCCGUAGCUGGUUUGAAGGACGACCAGCCACACUGGGACCCGAGACACGGCCCAGACUCCUACGGGAGGCAGCGGUGGGGAAUUUACCCGAAUAGGGAAACCCUGAUCCAGCCAUCCCGCGUGUGCACGAUGAAGGCCUUCGGGUUGUAAAGCACUUUUGGCAGGAAAGAAACAGCUGCAUGCCCCGUGCAACUGACGGUGCCUGCAGAAUAAGCACCGGCUAACUACGUGCCAGCAGCCGCGGUAAUACGUGGUGCAAGCGUUAAUCAGAUGGGCGUAAAGCGUACUGAACGGUUCGGGAAAGAAGAUGUAGGAAAUCAGAGCUUAACUUUGGAACUGCAUUUUUAACUACCGAGCUAGAGUGUGUCAGAGGGAGGUGGAAUUCCGCGUGUAGCAGUGAAAUGCGUAGAAUAUGCGGAGGAACACCGAUGGCGAAGGCAACCUCCUGGGAUCUUUUGGCAGCCAUGCACGAAAGCGUAGAGGGAGCAAACAGGAUUGGUCCCUGGUAGUCCGCUGGCGCGAUGUCAACUAGCUGUUGGGGCCUUCGGGCCUUGUGCUUCAAGCUAACGCGUGAAGUUGACCGCCUGGGGAGAUACGGUCGCAAAGUUAAAACUCCAAAGGAAUUGACGGGGACCCGCACAAGCGGUGGAUGAUGUGGAUUACUAAUUCGAUGCAACGCGAAAAACCUUACCUACCCUUGACAUGUCUGGAAUCCCGAAGAGAUUUGGGAGUGCUCGCAAAGAGGACGGAACACAGGUGCUGCAUGGCUGUCGUCAGCUCGUGUCGUGAGAUGUUGGGUUAAGUCCCGCAACGAGCGCAACCUUGUCGACAAGUUGCUACGAAAGAGGGCACUCUAAUGAGACUGCCGGUGACAAACCGGAGGAAGGUGGGGAUGACGUCAAAUUAUCGCGGCCCUUAUGGGUAGGGCUUCACGUCAUACAAUGGUCGGGACAGAGGGUCCGCCAACCCGCGAAGGGGAGCCAAUCCCAGAAACCCGAUCGUAGUCCGGAUCGCAGUCUACAACUCGACUGCGUGAAAUUGAAUCGCUAGUAAUCGCGGAUCAGCAUGUCGCGGUGAAUACGUUCCCGGGUCUUGUACACACACCGCCGUCACACCAUGGGGGUGGGUUUUACCAGAAGUAGUUAGCCUAACCGUAAGGAGGGCGAUUACCACGGUAGAGGAUUCAUGACUGGGGUGAAGUCGUAACUAAAGU
rnacentral:rRNA from 1 species